CAUGGAAGUCGGGGGGACCUGAAGCUGCCCUUAAGCAAGGUGGUCAGGGUAAAUCUGGUAACUGGGGCUAAGUCGUAACAAGGUAGCCGUACCGGAAGGUGCGGCUGGAACACCUCCUUUCUGGAGC
rnacentral:rRNA from 1 species